GCAUAUGGAGGUUCCCAGGCUAGGGGUCCAAUCUGAGCUCUAGCCACCAGCCUACACCACAGUCACAGCAACACCAGAUCCUGAGCCACAUCUGUGACCUACACCAUAGCUCACAGUAAAGACGGAUCCUUAAGCCACUGAGUGAGGCCAGGGAUCAAACCUAAAAUUUUUGCUAUGGAUAAUCUUGAGACUUCAGAGUUUAAAAAAAAACCAGAAUUCACAUUUAAAGUCGUAACUUCAUAUAGCUAGCCCUUGAAAAUUACACCACGCACAGCCCUAGUGCAUGGUAUCUUGACUGAUGACAGUUAUACGGGAAAAAUGGAUAUGGCUUCUGUGUUAGAGCUGUUUUGUUGUAGACCAGCUUAAAUUCAUUGUAACGAUUAUUCUGAUUUUCUGUUAAGCAGAAGCUAUCAAAAGACAUGAAAAAAUUUUAAAUGCAUUAAAGAUAAGGUCUAACUAUAUUCUCUAUUAGGACAGAUUUUUUUUUUUUUUAGACUUUAUUUACUAAUAUUUCCAGUUCUACUUUCUAUGAACUUUAGGACCCCACAAUGUGUGGUACAUUUAUAUGUACUGACAUGGGGCAGUUGCCUUGUAAUUAUAUUAUUCAGUUCAAACAAAUUGCAACACAUGUACUUCCUGUGUAUAUGGGGAACACCUGAAGGACACAUUCCAAAGUGCCAAGAGUAUUCAUCCCCUUCUUGCUCGGCCUGCUGUUCUCACAUCAGGUUUCUUGUCUAGUCGGACAAGGCAUUCAUUUAGAAUGCCCUGGACCUUUCUGGAAAGGUCCUCUUUCAGGGCAUGUGAGGAAGAUGGCUGACCUACUCUUCUUUCCUUCUUUUUCUUUUCUUCUUGAAGGAGAAAGGGUAGGAUCAUGGGAAUAAAUCUGCUCUGGGGAUAUUGAAGCCCAAUGUUGAGUCCCCAGGUGACCCAGACACUCCAUUUGUGGUUUUCACUGAUGCAACACCCAGUGGCUCCUCCAUAAGGUCCAGCUGCUGUGAAUUACAGUUUGCAGAAUUACAAGUCAAACAAAUUUUCAUAGUCCUCUUUCUCUAUGAAGCUUUUGGUCCACCUUGUCCAGAAUCAUCCACAUUUCAUGUUGUGUUAGACUUGGAAACACCUUGAGGGUGUUUGUACUCCAGCUUCUGGCUGGUGUUUGGCCUGUGCUGGGGGUUCAGUAACCGUGGGUAAAUAAUGACCGGCUGUGUCCAGUUUGGGGGUCAGAAGUUACUGUCUGGGGGUUUCCCCUUUGUUCUCUGCACUGAGGAAGCUGAUUCUAAAUUUUGAAUGGAUUAGACCAGUUGACAGUAAGCUGGAAUGAUUGACCUGAUCAUUGUGGUAAUCUCUCAAAAGAGGAAAUUGCAAAUUAAUCUCCAGUGGUAAAUGAUAAACACUGCUUUUUGUGAAUAUAGGAGAUGCUUUCUUGUUUUUAUGGAUACCAAAGUACAGUUGUUAACACCUGUAUGUGUGGGAGUAAAUGCCGUGGAAUCAGGAUUUUUAAAAACACAUCUCUCCUUUUCCUCUUCAUUUAUAACUGACUACAUCCCAGAAGGAUCCAGGAGGAACAGAUGUCCUUUCAUGGUGUGAGAUUAUUUUUCCACCACAUAAGAUAAUUCACACCUCUCUAGUUAGGAACUCUGUAAGUUGAGAGGUGGGGAGAAAACGACUGUGCCCCCACCCCCAGGAUUAGGGAAGGCUUCCCAGGAGGGCGGAUGGACCCAGCAGGCUUAUGGACCCUGCUUGGAUGAGUAGAAUUCAGAGAAGCAGAAAUGGGGCAGCUGGUUUGUCUGGGAAGACUAUGAAAUGAGAGUACAGGUUUCAUGGAGGCGCAGCUGGAGGUACUUUUAGAAAGAUGAACUGGGCUUAAUUAUGAAGUCCUAGAAUGUGGGAGAUGUCUUAAAGUUAAGCGUGCCACCACUUUUAAAGCUUGUAUUCCAUUCCUUGUGCCUGGAGGUCAUCUGAAAUGCGUUAUGCUUCCCUCUCACUCUGCAGAAGUUUGUAAACUGAUGUGCAGAGGGAGCUGGGUCUCAGUUCAGAUACUGGUAACUCUGCUCCCCGCCUGCCCUUUUAAUGCACAUCUCACUUUAGGACAGCUUGGUGGGUUCACACCCAUCCACGGGCAGACAGGUGAUGAAGGUGAGUGAGACUGAACUGGGUCCUGUGCCGAGGUCACCGGAAUGGUGCCUGUGAGGAAGCAGACAGCAGAGCAUGGUGGGCUCUUGGUUUCUGACCCCGCCAUGGCAACGGUGAGGCUCCAGGAAGCAAGGAAGCCCCACUGCAGUGGGUCCUGGUGGCGGGCAGGCGAGUGAGCAGGGGUUGGAGCCAGGUGGAGGGAGUGUCCAGCUCUGAGAGAAGGGUUAUGCCAUUGGAAGGAAAGAGGGAUAUAGGAUUUAGACAGGGAUAACUGAAGUCUUAGGUAACAAGAGAUAGUUUUGUUCACGAAAGAAGCUAGGGAAUCCUUUUCAAGGAAACACACUGAAUUGAAAUUUCUGUGUGGAGGUUGAGCUACAGUGUGGUUUCUGAAUGGAGGUGGUUAGCAGCGGCCAAGCGCCAGUCCUGAGGUCUGGGGAGUUCCUAACACUGACGGCGAUGGUGCACUGGGCUUCUGGAUUCUCCUCUGUGUGGAGAGUCUUCUCUUUAAACCCUCACAGCCCUGCGAGCUGGGACGUCCCCUUCCUUGUGUAUCCAAGCGCUUUAGGUUAGCUGAGGUCUGUGGUGGGAGCAGGACUUAAACAUAGGUCUUCUUUUCCCAAAUCUCACGUUCUUGUCACACUUCUCUUCUCCCAUUCAUGUGCCUACCAAGACCGUACCUGGAGAAGGAAGUCUGAAUGAUGGAGCGUGUGCAGAUGGCAGGUGGGUCUCCACUGGAACCCUGAUUGGGGGUGGCCUGGGGCCGCCAGACAGGGAGGCUGUCUUGUCUCUUAGAUGGACCAGCUCUUCCAGGGCAGCGAUUUUAGGUCCUUUUUUUCUUUGUAAUGCUUAGAAUGUUGUCUCUUUUCUUUUUCAAAACAGAAACAAGUUUUUAACCCCAGAUUAAAUUGUGACUUUUAAAGAGGUUAGUGGAGGAAAUAGUUAUGAAGAGGAAGAGGUCUUUAAGGUAGAGAUGAUUAUUGUUUUGUUCUUUAAUUAAAAGAGUUGUAAUAAAUUGGUUAAUAAACUAGCAGGAAUAGCUAUUGGUUGUGGUCUUUCUUAGUUACUAGUUGAACUCUGCUUUGUCAUUUACUUGCUGCUAGAAGUAUCUUACAGAGCUCUGCUUGUGAGGGCCAUUUCACUCUUGAGUGCUCUGUGUUAUGUCACACAGCUAUUGCCUGUCCUGAGGCAGUGCUUUGGAGUAUUUACUGUUAAGUUGGCAUUGUGCUAAAUAUGCUGUUUUGCAUGGGUUAUUUUACUUGCUUUUCACAAGCUGAAUGAGGCAGGUAUUAACUAACUAAUAUCGCCACUUUACAGAUUAGGAUCUGGAAAUUUAGAUGGAUGUGCUGGUAAAGUUGUUUUUCUUUUAACUCUGUGUACUUGACAGUAAAGCCAUAUGGUUCAUAGAUUGGCUGGAGAAGAGGUAGGUAAUUCAGUAAAAUUUAUAAAUUUUAUAAUUUUGACUUAGAUUACGCAGACUUGGAGUUCCCCUGAUGGUGCAGUGGGUUAAGGAUCUGGCAUUGUCACUAUAGCGGCUUAGGUCAUUGCUCUGGUGGGUCGUUGCUGUGGUGUGGGUUCAGUCUCAGUCCCGGCACUUCUGCAUGCAUGGGUGGGGCAAAAAAAAUAGAUUACACAAAAUUGGUCUUUAUAUAUGUCUUAUGUCAUUUCUUUUAAAAGAACUUUAAAUAUUUUUAAAAAGAAGGAGUUCCUGUUGUGGCUCGGUAGUAACGAACCCAGCUAGUAUCCAUGAGAACGUGAGUUUGAUGCCUGGCCUCACUCAGCAGGUUAAGGAUCCACUGUUGCUGUGGCUGUGGUGUAGGCCGGCAACUGCAGCUCCGAUUCAACCCCUAGCCUGGGAACUUUCAUAUGUUGCA
ensembl:lncRNA